rnacentral:lncRNA from 12 species
GGGGGGGGGGGGGGGGGGGGGGGGGGGGGGGGGGGGGGGGGGGGGGGGGGGGGGGGGGGGGGGGGGGGGGGCUCACCUGUGUCCAUUCUCACCUGUGUGCACCCUCACCUGUGUGCACCCUCACCUCUGUCCAUUCUCACCUGUGUCCAGACCCUCACCUGUGUCCAGACCCUCACCCGUGUCCACCCUCACCUGUGUCCAUUCUCACCUGUGUCCAUUCUCCCCUGUGUCCACCCUCACCUGUGUCCAGACCCUCACCUGUGUCCAGACCCUCACCCGUGUCCACCCUCACCUGUGUCCAUUCUCACCUGUGUCCAUUCUCCCCUGUGUCCACCCUCACCUGUGUCCAGACCCUCACCUGUGUCCAGACCCUCACCCGUGUCCACCCUCACCUUGCCCCUCAUUGACUCCCCCAUGCCCUAAACUGGGAGCACUGGGAGCUCCCCCUGUGUCCCCCUGGCCUCCAGCCAGCGGCACUUUGGCCACUGGUUCUGUCCUUGGGCCACCAGUUCCCUGCACCACCACACCUGGACUUGUGUCCACACCUGGACCCAUGUCCAGCACGUCUGGGGCAGUGUCCACCACACGUGUACCCAUGUCCGACGUUCAACGUCUUCCACACAGUCUGAACUGGGAGCACUGGGAGCGCCCCGGUUCCCAGUCACAGUCCCCCCCCGACCGCCUGCCAUCAGCACUUUGGCCAUUGAUUUUGUCCCUGUGGCCACCCCUGUGUCCCUGCAGCCCCCUUCCUGUGCCCACCCCCGCUGUGCCCUUCAGUGCACUGAACUGGGAGCACUGGGAGUCCCCUCUGUGGUCCCACCAGUCACAGCCCCUUGGCCUCCAGCCAGCAGCACUUUGGCCACUGGUUUUGUCCCUUUGGCCACUGGUUUUGUCCCUUUGGCCGUGGAUUUUGUCCCUCUGCCCCGUGCCUGUGCCCAUCUGUGCCUGUGUGUGUCCCCCCGCUCUCUCUCGUCACAUGAGGUGUUGAUGUCACCUCCUUAACCUGUGACACACCUGGUGGGGGGGGGGGGGGGGGGGGGGGGGGGGGGGGGGGGGGGGGGGGGGGGGGGGGGGGGGGGGGGG